UGAGGAAUAUUGGUCAAUGGACGAGAGUCUGAACCAGCCAAGUAGCGUGCAGGAUGACGGCCCUAUGGGUUGUAAACUGCUUUUGUUUGGGAAUAAUCGACAUUACGUGUAAUGUUUUGCAUGUACCAUUCGAAUAAGGACCGGCUAAUUCCGUGCCAGCAGCCGCGGUAAUACGGAAGGUCCAGGCGUUAUCCGGAUUUAUUGGGUUUAAAGGGAGCGUAGGCUGUUUGUUAAGCGUGUUGUGAAAUGUAAGAGCUCAACUUUUAGAUUGCAGCGCGAACUGGCAGACUUGAGUGCGCACAACGUAGGCGGAAUUCAUGGUGUAGCGGUGAAAUGCUUAGAUAUCAUGACGAACUCCGAUUGCGAAGGCAGCUUACGGGAGCGCAACUGACGCUAAAGCUCGAAGGUGCGGGUAUCGAACAGG
rnacentral:rRNA from 1 species